AGAUUGAACGCUGGCGGCAUGCCUUACACAUGCAAGUCGAACGCGAAAGGGGGAGCAAUCCCCUUAGUAGAGUGGCGAACGGGUGAGUAAUACAUCGGAACGUGUCCAGUAGCGGGGAUAACCUCUCGAAAGAGAGGCUAAUACCGCAUACGACCUACGGGUGAAAGGGGGGGAUCGCAAGACCUCCCACUAUUGGAGCGGCCGAUGUCGGAUUAGCUAGUUGGACGGGUAAAAGCCCAACCAAGGCGACGAUCCGUAGCUGGUCUGAGACGGACGGCCAGCCACACUGGAACUGAGACACGGUCCAGACCUCCUACGGGAGCAGGCAGGUGGGUAAUUUGGACAAGUGGGACGAAAGCCUGAUCCAAGCCAGUCGCCGUCGUGGAGUAGAAGAAGGUCCGUUAGGGUUACGUAAAG
rnacentral:rRNA from 1 species